GGGUUUACGUUCUGCCGGGCGCUGUGCGGAGGCUAGUCCCUAUUUGUUGUGUAUCUUUAAGUCUCCUUAUUCGACUAACAGCUACAUGCGGCUACCUUUUUCCUUUCCCACUGUUUUGUUUGGAGAAUGGUUCUUGUUAGGAAAACUUGUGCAACUGAUUGAUUAUCUGUUGGUGAGAGACAGAAUGUGAAGCUUAUUAUGAAAGGUGCAUUUUCUUGAGAUUGAAGAACUGGGCUAAAUUUUUGAUACAGAAUACAGAGAAGCAUAGAUCAUGUGGUCCUCCGGUGAUCAGGAGGCUAUAACUAUAUGGUUGGAAGGAUGCAAGGAUUAUUUUCAAAUCCUGGAAGCUCGGAUGGGAACAUGGGCGAGAAAUUUCACAAGAAAAAAAAGGACAGAGGAAGAAAUAUUAAUUCAGUUAAAAAAAAAAAAGAAAAAAACUUGAAUGUGUUUGUAAACUGCCAUAAAUAAUGAACCAUGAACAAAUUCAAUAUUUAUGCCCCAAAAAAUCAUCACAUUUCUUCAUUUUGAAACUCCCAAAACACCCCAAGAUAAAAACUUUUGGGUCUUGCAUUUUGUUUGUUUAUGUCAAAACUAGGCCCAAACGAAUAAUAUUGCAUUGUUAUUAUUGUAAACGGGUGGAGGUUGGGCUGCUUCUUGACAUUCAAAGCCUACUCGCACGGUAUUGGUUAGUUUUAGGUUGAUCCGAAUCAUAGGCGUCGAGUUAAUUGGAUUGGAUUGGAUUGGAUGGGGCUGGGGGGCAGCAUGAGCUUGUUGAGGGGAGGCUGCUCCUCCUCCUCCUCCUCCUCCUCCGGCGGCUACUGCUGCUGUUCUAGUAGCAGCAGUAAUUAUGGAUAUGGUGGUCGUCGCCCUGUACUGCUACGAGCUCUACUUCCCUCUGCCACUGCUUCUGCUACUUCAUCUUCAACGCCGCGGCCUCUGCAGCCUCUCCUCCUCCUCAGGCCCAGAGAUAAGAAGAAGACGAUUAUACUAACCCCACCAUUCUCCACUUCACCUCCUACUAAUCCUAAUUACUCCUCCUCCUCCUCCUCCUGGGCUACUCCUAAAAAACUAACACCGCCAUUUCUGCUGCCUUCCCCGCUCAUCACAAAAUUUACUCCUGUUACUCCCAUUCCAACGUUGUUGCCGGGGUGGAAACGCUGUUUCUGCACUGCCCCCUCCUCCUCCUCCUCCUCCGUCAAGGUGGAGGAUGAUGACGAUGAUGAGAUGACCAAGAUCAAAGAAGCCGCCAACACAUUGGACAUUCGAGUGGGCAAAAUCCUCAAGGCCUGGAGGCACCAGGAAGCUGAUUCCCUCUACGUCGAAGAGGUCGAUGUUGGGGAGCCUGAACCCAGAAUCAUUUGUAGUGGCCUCGUCAAAUAUCUGCCCCUCCACCAUCUUCAGGUACCAUAUUAUACUGUUCUACUAUUUCUACUGCUACUAAGUCAUGCAUCAAAAUUACCCCUACUGCUGCUGCUGCUGCUUGUUAAGCUAUUAGUGACAAAUUUGGACAACCCUCGUGCUUAAUACUACUAGUGCUAGGCCACGACUACUAGUUAUUGACAAAAAUGUCUGCUUCUAAGCUAGCCAUGUCCCCAUAGAGCCUUCCAUCCCCACUCUUUUAUUGCUAUCAUCAUAAGGAAGACUGUGUUCAGCAUAGCGUCGCGCAUGCUUGAACAUACCAAGCUUUUUACUUUCCCAAAAGCUCAUCGGACGGCAUUUUCAAUUGAGAAGAGCUGGUCUUCUGUCUCUUCUUUGAGCAAACCUUCAGGUGAAAAUAUCUAACCCCAUGAGAUCAACAUGCAGGGCAUCAAUGUGGUUGUCCUUGCUAAUUUGAAGCCAAGGAAUAUGCGUGGUGUCAAAUCAUCCGGAAUGCUGAUGGCAGCUUCUGAUGCAUCACAUGAGAACGUGGAGCUACUAGUGCCUCCUGAAGGCUCAGUUCCUGGUCAAAGGAUAUGGUUUGGUUCUGUGGAUGAAAAGGAGAAUCUUCCAGAUGCCGCAUCGCCCAAUCAGGCAAAUUCUCAAACUCUCAUUGCGUAAAACAAGUUCCAAACUUUUAUUUGGUAUGGUAUGGAAUUUUUCAUGUCAGAGACAACAUCUAGACGUGCACAGAAAAGCGGGUAUUAAACCCUUAGCUUUCCCGUUAUAGACCUCUCUAGGCAAAAGAUAAUUUAGUGGCGACAUGCCUCGUGUAUCAAAGCCUAUAAGUAUGAACUUAAGUAAGCAAAAAAAUUAUAUGAGGGUAGUACAUCACUUUGUUGGACAAUUGAAUGUAUGCUCUGCUCUAAAAUACUUUACGGUUACGUUAUAAAUGUCUCAGCUCUUUAAUGCAUGGUAUUCAGAAUUCACAUGGUCGGCUUUUGGUUAGAUGUUUAGUAACAAAAUUCUUCCUGAUCUUUUCCAUUUUCUUAUGGGAGUUCUCCAGGAUCCUGUUUAUAAACUACUUUGUUGGUAGGUUAUAGCUUGCAAGUUCAUUGACAAAUGAAAUUUGGGCAAGAACAAUAAUUUUGCGUUACUUGUGGAAUUUUUGCUUGGUCAUAUCCUCAAUGAAGAGAACUCUGGUGUUUAUUAAAGUACUACUUAUGUUGGUUUGAUGGAUAGGGCUUCAAAUGCAAAGGUGAUAAGUUAUACUAAUACAGGAUCGUAAAAAUGCUCAAAUGAUUAUAAUUCAGCUUUGCAUUGAGAUGAUGAAUUACUGAAGAGGACACUGGGCAAAGAAUAAUUAGCUUUCCUUAAUAAACCUCUUCAAUGCACCUUUUGUAUUUUUGAUUUCAUUGUGAAGAACAAUGUCAUAGAUGUCUUACUAAUGCAUGGAUGCUAGUAGAAUCUCAAUGUAAAACUGCCCUUGGUAAGAAAGUGAGUGUGCUGAAACAGUUAUUAGCGAUACUGAAUAAUUUAGUUCUGUUAUUCUUUUCUGUAGGUAAAACAGUUAGAUUUUAUCGAUGAAAACAAAGUCAAGUUUGUAUAAACAUAUGGGUGAUACCCAAAUACCUUUUAGUAAAUGAUUUAUUAAAUGCGGCCUGGCAAGAAGCAGAACUUUUCGUUCAAUGGGUUACUAAUUUUAUUCGUCCAUAAACUGAUUAUGUUUAUGGCUUCGUAAAAUGAUAAGGUCAAAUCAACAUCAAGUCAAAUAUUGAGAGAUAACACAUAUUUCUUCUCAAAGAAACAUACAUCACUGCCAUGUCACCAGAUUCAGCUGCUGAAAUGUUAGGUCACUUCCUUGCCCAGUCAAGUUGUCAACCCAAUCUGAUCAACUGGCUGUUUAGUCGUUGGCCUUUAAUAUGAGAAUUUUUAGUUGGUACGCAUCACAUAUUGCAAUGUUUACUGUGGUUUUUGCUUACUUAUUAAGGAUUAAAUAAAAUAUCAUGGCACAACUGAGAUGUUUGGAUGAGAAUGUUUUGCAAGUUUGUUACCAUAAGCAACUAAAGGCAUAUUGUAUUUACUUUUACUAGAUAGACAAAACCUUUAAGCUAUCCUAACAGUAAACAGACCAGAUAUUGCUUUUGUUGUAAGAUUGGUGAACCAGUUUCUGAAUUCACCAAGGUACAGUGAUUAGACAUACUGAAACUUAAAAUGUCUUAAAGGUGCCUUGGGUCAUGGCUAACUCUAUCAGAACAGUCAUCUUAAAAUAUUUUGUUGUUAGUGGAAUCCUGUUUCAUGGAAGUGCAAGAAACAAUCUGUGGUUUCAAAGUCUGGUGUUGAAUCCGAUUAUAGGGCUAUGGUGCAAACUAUGUGCAAGUUGCUAUAGCUGAAACAGCUGUUGAAGGAACUUGGUCUUGAAAAUAAUAAUCCAAUGGAUCUGCAGAAGGCAAGCAACUCUACGUAUUGUAUCUAAUUAUCUGGACAACUGUGGGUGGACAACUGUUAUUUGUGUACCUGUUGGUGGAAUCUUGUUUCUUGGAAGAGUAAGGUACGGUGCUAAAUGCCAAUAUAGGGCUAUGGUGCAAACUACAAGUGAUUUGCUAUUGCUGAAAUAUCUGUUGAAGGAACCUGGUUUUGUAAGUAAUAUGCCAGUGGGUGUAUCAUGCAAUAAUCUUGCAGCUCUUCAUAUUUGCAUCUAAUUACCCUGGCUGCCGCCACCUUGCAGUGGACUGGGGAAAGUGAAUACCCUUGACGCACACCCACCAACCUGUGAUCAGAAGGCUAGCCUCUUUCUAAGGAUAUUUGGUGGACUUUAUACAUAGACAAAGCACAUUAAGAUAGAUUCUCACUACAUCUGCAGAUUAUAUGUUAAAAGAUGAGCAGCUAGUAGACUCGCUCAGUAAAUGUUUUGGCAGUUCUAGAAUGCAUUUUACUUGUAACUAGCUAGGGUAUUACUAGAAGUAUUGAGGAUUUGAAGGUCAAUAGUUAUGUUUUCAUAACAAAUAUUGUGGUUCAGGGAAUUAAAGCAGAAAAAGGGCAACCCAAAUGGCCAUUAAACUAUUCCUUUGGUGUAAUUUUGGCUACUGGACUAUUUUUAGUUCCAAUUUUUCCACUGAACUCCUAAAAACAUUUACAUUUGGCACUUUUUAAUGUUUCACUGUCAAGUCCUUUCUCUUCGGUUAAUUUAGGGGGAUACCUUUUUCCAAAUGUUUUUCUCUUCGGUUAAUUUAAAAGUUUUACUUGAAUUCUUGAUUAAGGUAUCUUGAAUGCACCCAUGUCAGUCAAACAUCUGUGAGUGAAUGGAGUGUGACAUAGUUUUAGCUUAACGUGCUUUUGUUUGACUUGACUAAACCAUUGAUGCAACUAAUGAUCCAAAGAGGAUGAUUGGAGGAAGAGCUGUUUUUCUCAGCUUGUGGGCUUGUUAAUGGAAUGACAGAAAAGUGAUUGUUGAUUUGGUACUGAGGCUGUCGGGUCGCAUUGCAGGUUGGAGUCGGUAAAGCUCUCUGACUUUUAAUACUGAAUUAGUUCUAUGACUGAAUUAAAGGUUCCAAAGGUCAUUGUGCAAGAAUUUGGUGUCAAUGCAUAUCUGCGAGCUCUCUCUUUGUUGUCUUCAGUGCAAAGUAGAAAGACACUGAAUUUAUGCAUUUUUAAUUUUCUAUUCUGCUCGGCUUGUUAUGCUUCUUUCCAAUAAUUUGCAGAUUCAGAAGAAAAAGAUCUGGGAACAGGUUCAGCCUCAUCUGGGGACGGAUGACUCGUGUAUUGCUGCACUUGGUAUGCACACCAUGCGAACAACUGAUGGUGUUGUGGUCUGCAGAUCUCUAAAGAAUGCUAGAAUAUCAUAACAGGCAGUUGGAAGCUCGUCAAGGUCACAGGAUUCUUUGGUCUCAUAACUUGCACUUCUAGUGUGCCCCACUAUCUACUGCUGUCUUUGGACCUAAAUUUCUGUGCAGUAUGUCCGCUGGUUUUUAGUGAGAUAUUGCAGGAAGAAAAGAUAAAUGAUAAUGGGCCUUGUCUAUGUUUGACCUGUCAUAGUUUACAUCACUAAUGUAUGGUCAUUCUUUUGUCUUUUAUCUAUCUUUUGUUGACACUUUGGCAAAUAGCUGAGAAUGUAAUCUGGCUUGCAGACUUGACCUUCGGAUUGAUUUUUAUUAGGUUCUGCUGGCUGUAAAAAUUUAGGAGCGUUGUGACUUAAAUGGCACCAUUAAGAUUAGAGUUGAUUUUGUUCAAUGGGAGAUAAAAUGAGACAAAAAAAAGUUACUGAGUAAAGUGAGAAACGAGAUAUACUUUGAUGCGAUUAAAUGUGAUUAACCCUUAAGAUUGGUUGCAUUUAUUCACUUUAUAACAUGGUAUAGUUUUUGCUUCGCUAAGCAAAAAUUUUCAGCUUUCGACACCCAAUUUGAUGACAUCAAAAUUUGUAAUAAAGGAAACGUCUCUUUAUAAUUAUUGUAGAAACAGCUAUGGAAUUUGAUUAAAACUUGAAUCAUAAAGAGGGGAAAUGGGAUAAGUAGGAGGCGUGGUAGUAAAAGUAAAGAUUAAAAGACCCCAAGUUCUGGAGUUUCGGAAAAAAAAUAAGGGGACAAAGGGCAAAAAAUUAGCACUGAUCAAAAUUAACAUAACUUUUCGUUGCCGUUUUGAUAAAAAAAAAAAAAAGGAUUUCUUUUUACUUUUAGCGAAAACAAAUGGAAAACAUUAGACGCAAAAAAUAAAAGAAACCAAAUAAGAAAGGGUUUUCUAACCAAAAAAAUAAAAAAUAGGGAUAAUUUCAGAAACCUCCCCUGAGGUUUCUGACAGUCUCAAGGACCUCCCCUGAAGUUCCGAAAAUCCCUUAUACCUCCCCUAAAACUAAGUAGAUAGUUUCAGGUCCAACCCAAUUGAGGUGGACAAUGAAUAUAAAAUGUGUUUCAGGAGAGAGAAAAUAAUCAAAUUCCACCUCUGCCCUCAAGAUUGUCAUUAGUGAGGAUGUUUAUGUUGAAAAUUUCAAUGGAAUCUAGUUCCUUUGAAAUUGCAGGGGGUGUAUGUGAAACUGAUGGAAAAAGGUAAGGCUGUAUUGCAAGAAAUUGUCUUCUAGUUCAUGCCAACGGCUCUCAAAGUAGUUCUUUGUGACGGUAAUAAGAAACAGUAGUGUUGCUUUGGAGCUCUAUAUAAUUGCCUACUGAAGUUGCAAGAGAAACCAGUGAAUGUUGUUGGGUUGUGACUGAGGUUUCUGCAAAAGUGCUCAUACAAGUAGCAAAAUUCUAAUCAAAAUCUAUUUUUUGAUCACAACAAGAAGUGUUACCUAUAACAGGAGCGGGCAGUUUAGAAAUUUAUUUAUCGGAUAAAAUAAAUUUAAACCCAUUGUUGAAUAAAAGACCAGCUCUUUAUGGCUUUCGUCCAUUAUACUUACGGAGUACCCAUUUUCCUUAAAUACUAAUUUAUUUGUCGGAUAACAUAAAAUAAAUCCGUUGUUGAAUAAAAGAGCCCCACUUUUCAAAGCUUUCAUUCAUUAUAAGAACAGAGUACCCAUUUUUCUUAAACAAAAAUUUAGUUAUUAGAUAUAAUAAAAAUUAACUCGUUGUUGAAUAAAAAACCAGCUCUUUAUGGCUUUUCUCCAUUACAACAACAUAGUACCCAAGGUCCCUUAAAUAGAAAUUUAUUUAUCGGAUAAAAUAAAAAUAAAUCCGUUGUUGAAUAAAAGACCAGCUCUUUAUGCCUUUCGUCCAUUAUACUCACAGAAUACCCAAAGUGCCUUAAAUAGAAAUUUAUUUAUCGGAUAAAAUAAAUUUAAACCCAUUGAAUGCCGAAAUUAAAAUAAAAUAAAAUAAUAAAGAUGAGUAUUGAUUCAUAAUAGUAAAGAACCAGAUUCAUUAUCAUGUGCUUCCAGUUUUGCUUAUUGAAUACCACAUGACAGAUUUUACAAAAACACAGUGUACAAGUAAUAGUGCAAAUGGAACUUCAGUCUUCUGUUGAGAAGCAUUUUGAGUGUACAACAGCCAAAUCUUUCCACUUAUGCAUCCAGGUUAAUACAAAAAGAUAAAUUCGUCCAAAACAUCAGAUAACUAAUGUUCAGAUACCAAAAUUAGAUAACCAAGACAUCUAAAAGAUCCUGAUAUUCAUCAGUAAUGAUCAGAUAUUCAUGUCCUCUGAUAUCCAAAUAACAAAAGACUCUUAAUAGAUUCUACUAAAAGGUGAAGCUGCUACUGACAUUAUGAGAAUCAUGAGAAACUGAAGCAUUGAUGUUGACAUCAGUUUGUACUUGGGCACUUCCACUGGGAUGUAGUGCAGCAGUAUGCAUUCCUGCAAAUGGUUGAGGUGCUGCUGUUGAAGUUUUCCUUUUGGGGUUAUAUACAACAGAUGGAGCAGAUUUGUUGGAAGGUCGGCCUCUCUGAAAUUGCAGAUGAAGCAUGAUUAAUAUACAGGCAUGUAAAUAAGCAUUAAAAGUGCAGCUAUCUCUGAAAAAGGAUUAAGGAACAAAUACCUUUCUCUUAGUAGCAUUGGUUGCUGUUUGCAGAUUCAAGUCAGCAUUCAUUAAUGGUAAUUGAGUUGAUGGACUUCGGUUAUUGCCUUGACUAGAAACUACAAUAGGCACAUUGCCAUCAGCAUGAUCCUGCACAAAUCAAUGGCAAGCAUUAGCUCAUCAGACAACAGCAACAUAAGAAAAGUCUGUUUCUGAAUCUAAAAGAAUUGUAACCCAUAGAACAGAUCCUGCAAGCCCUGUAUUUGCAAUUCCCCUUCCUGGCUUUCCUCUAGCAAAUUGAGUCCCCUGACAUGAAAAUUAAUAACAAAUUACAAGCUCGCUUAGCAAUUUCAAGUCUCUCAAUUAAACCACUAGACUGAACCUUGUUUGUGCUGGUGCUUGUACUCCUUUGUCUCACAGGUGCUCUUUGACAUGUUCUAGUAUUAUGUCCAGUAGCUUUGCAGUUGCCACAUCUCAUAGUGGUUGACCUUUUUGCUUGAGAUUGGCUUGGCUCAUCAGGCCCUCUCCUUCUAUUAACUCUUGGACGACCUGGAGCUCUUCUCAAUGGUGGUGGAAGGACAGUUUUUGGUGUGACAUCAAUUAAUGGAGGCCAUCUCUUCUCGUGAGGAAUUGGAUGUAUCAUGCCACUAUAUGUCUUGAGAUACAUUUCUGUUGAGAAGCAAGGAUCACAGUAUGUCUCCAACUUCUGUCUUUUGUAUACAAUUCCAAGUGCAGCAUGCUUGCAUGGGAGUCCAGACAAUUGGAAAGCUCCACAGUCACAUGUCUUCUGGUUCAAACUCACUAUAAAUGUUCUGUCACCAUCAGUAACUUCAAACGAAUCCUCACUGGCCAUCUGCAAUGAACAUCUCCUAGAAUGUAUUGCAAUUUCCUUGAGCUUUUCUAUGAUGUUUUUUGGGAUAGCAGACGUCCAUGUGCAAGCCUUCUGGUACCUUUUGUGUAAUUUCUUCAUAAAUUUUUUCCUCAGUCCUUCAACAAGUGUCAGUAUUGGUUGGCACCUUAAGUCUCCAAUCCAAGCAUUGAAGGAUUCCGUGAAAUUGUUUGUGACAUGGUCACAUUUCAAAUUUGUUGAGAAAGCAUGUCUAGCCCAAGCAGAAACUGGAAUCUUGGAUAAGUACCUCCAUGCUUCUAUAUUCAUGUCCUUGAUUCUCUGCAUUGCUUGUGUAAAUCCAACUGCAUCAUAACUCUUAGCAGCUUGCCAAAAGAAGGUACUCAGUAACACUCCAGGGAAUUGAGACUUGAAGUUCAUGCAAAUAUGUCUGCAACAGUAUCUUCCAAUUGCAGAUGGCAGCUGCUGUUCAUAUGCAAUGUUCAACCCCUACAUCAAAAGCAAAAAAUCAGUCAGCCUUUUUUACCAUAUCUACACAGCAGGUUGUCCAAAUUUGGCAAAGUAAAGUAUUUAGUAAUACCUUUUGUCUGUCACUCAUGACAGUUAAGGGACAGUUGUUAUCGAAUGGUCCAAAAAAUUCUUCAAAGAAAUGAAAGAACCAGCUCCAAGUCUCUUUGUUUUCUACCUCAACAAUAGCAAAACCAAUGGGAAAUAUGCUGUUAUUACCAUCCAAUGCAACAGCAGCCAGCAAUACUCCACCAAAACUACCUUUCAAAUGACAUCCAUCAAAUCCGACAAAGGAUCUACAACCACCUAAAAAUCCAUCUUUCUGACUUUUAAAGCUAAUAAAAAGUCUGAGGAACCUUGGUUCAACUAGUAGAUUUGGUCUGUCAUAAUGAAUCUUACAAACACUACCAGGAUUAUGUUGCCUAAGAAGCACAGCAUAUUUGGGCAGUUUACUAUAUGAUUCUGAAUGUGUGCCUUCAAUCUCUUCUCUUGCCUUUUGUUUGGCUCUAUACACUUGCUGUUUACUAGGAUGCACACCAUAUUUUAGCAUCUCAGCUUCAAUGCCCUUUCUUGACAAGUUAGGAUAGGUUCUCAUCACAGCUAUCAGUUUUUUGGCCAUCCAGUCAGAGGUGGCCUCACGAUUUUUAUUAUCCAUCACACAUGUGUGUUCAGGUGUGUAUGUCUUAAUCAUAAAUGUUACUGAAUCAGCUAUAGGGGACGCAUGAAUCCUCCAUGUACAUCCAGCACUAUCACAGAUUGCAGUACACCUGGUUUUCUCAUUCUUCAGCCUUUUGAUGGGAAAUCCUUUUUGGAUCACAUAAUCCUUCAGUGCUGCUCUAAAGGCAUCAACAUUAGUGAAUAGCUGUCCCUUCUUGAAUUCUAUGUCCUCUCUUGGAUUGUAAGUCCACAUCUUGUUUCUUAGCACUUCUUUUAAAGGGUCCAUUUCUUGCUCAGAUUCAGAAUCUGGUACAAUUAGAUCACCAGUUUCAUUAUCAUCCAAGUUUUGAAAACUUUCAUCACUGCUAGAAUUCUCAGACAGAACCAUUAGCUCAUCACCUAUAUCAUCUUCAUUGUCAUCAUCAAAUCCUUGCUUCCAUGAAUCAUCAGAGCUCGAUUCACCCCUAUACCCCUCAUCCUGGGAGUCAAUAACAUGAACAUUCUGCUCAUCAGCAGCCAAGGCAGAGUGUUUGUUCUGAAUUUCUAUGUGCUCACUCUCACCAUCAAUCUUUCUCAACAACAUGACAGGUUGUUCAGCUGGGAUAAUAUCCAUGUUGAACACCUCUAUAUUUAUGACUGGUUGACCUUCAUACACACUGAACAUAUCAUGGACAGCUUCAUCAUCAUUCACAUCAAUGUAAGCUUCUGUUCCAGGUAUUGCACAUCUCAUAUGUACAAGAAGAUUAAUAUUUCCAGGCAGUUCAUCUAAUGCCUUCUCGGCAACAUCAUUCAGCAGAUUAAAGAAAGAGUAUUUUUCAGGAUUUAUAUUGGAAAUUCGAACUUUUGUCCCUCCACAAUGGAGUACAAUGUCAUACACAUCACCAGUCACCAUCCUACAACAUCAGAUAUCACUAUUUAUGAACUUCAAUGUAUACAAACAUAUAAUACUAUGACAGAGUAACUCCCUAGACCUCAUGCAAACCACUUUGUAUGAUUCAUAUAAACAGCACCAUCACAUAUGCAUGAAUACACAUUCUAGUUUAUAACUAUUAUAACCAGAAAUAAUGAAAACAUUGUCAGGUGAUCAUAUUAAUAACAAAAGCAGAAACGCAGAGCUAAUGUAGGAAAAUAAGAAGACAUGCUCAGUUUCCACAUGGUCAGUAACCUUCAUCAGCCAUAAGCUACGUAGUAUCUAACCUUGCUUUGCUUCAGAUGCUCUCAGAACACCAACAGUUCACCCUUUGCAGCAAUACUUCAGCUCAAUUUCCAGAACUCAAUUUCUUCAAGAAUUCUCCCGUUUCUCCUGGAGCUCUCAAAUGCUCUUCUCAUGAUCAGUAUGGCUCAAGAAGGUCUAUUCCUCAUCAAAAUUAACGUUCAGUCAGCUACCAUUGUCACAUCAACAACCAAAUGGGCGCCCAUUUUUGGCGCCUUUUCUCUUAGCCCAAAUUAGCAAUUCAUUUUAUUAUCAAAUUCCAGUUAAGUUACUUAAUCCUUUCUAUUACUCAUUUCACUAAUUAAUUCAUGUUAUUAUCAGAAUAUAUUACUUCAACAGCAGGGAUAUUUGUGUCAAUUCAACGUUUUUCAAGUCAUUUUGGGACCCAACAAUCUGACAGGGGAGGUAUAAGGGAUUUUCGAAACUUCAGGGGAGGUCCUUGAGACUGUCAGAAACCUCAGGGGAGGUUUCUGAAAUUAUCCCUAAAAAAUAAGAGAGAAAUAUUCAAUAACAAUAAAACGGAACAAAAUAUAUAAGAAAGUUUGAAUAACAGUCAGAAACUUGUGAAUGGGAAACAGGAGAUGAAUCUGAUGGAGAGUACAAUGGAAAACAGAGGUCUUCUAGAAGUGUAAAAACAUGAAAAAAAAAAUUUCAAUGCAAAUCUGCGGAGAAAAAAAGAUUACCAUAUUAGUCUUGCUGACUGAGGAAGAAAGAGGAAGAUGGCAAAGGAAAAGAAAAGGAGAGAAGAGAAUGACGAAAAAGAGGAAGAAAUGAAAAGAGAACCAGAAGAGACCGAGGGAAAAGAGAGAGAUAAAAGCACACGGUUUCUGGCACACGGUUUCUGGCACACGGUUUCAGGUGGUUUGGGAAAUAGAAGGGAACAAAACCGGUACAAGGAAUCCAGGACCAACAAGUAUGAAGAAGGACGAAACACCAACAACAAACUUCACGACCCAUUCCCACUCUAUAUAUAAGUUCUUUAUGGUACAAUACUACAAAGUUAAUAAAGACUAAUUUUGAUAGGAGUCCGCGGAGAAAUUUGGGGUUUCUCCAAUUUUCCAUCGUUUUUGGUCAAGAGAAUUGGUGCAGCCACCCGCUUUGGUGCAGUUGCAGCAGUCCUAGUGAAAAUGGCAAAAGACGACGAAUUGGGGGCUGGAGCCGUCCCAGAAGAAGAGGGGCCAUCCGAAACUGCAGCAGCAGAUGAAACUGAGGAGAAAGUUGAUGAGCUCACUUUAGAUGGCCCACAAGGUUUUUAUUGCAUCGCUGCUUGGGUUAAUCGUAGUUAUUUUACAUUUCCAAUAAUCCCUUUUAAUUUGGUGCCAUGACUCUCGUUAAUCGAUCUUUAGAUAUUCUGAUUGUAAUAGAUUACUAAUGUGUGCGCAAUUAGUAGAAAAAACUUUCUGAACUUUGUUCUCUAAUUAAAUUGCAUCUGUUAAUCAGAGAACGACUUGUUGCUUCAUGUAUAAUCGUGGGAUUCCCUUGUUCAUCUUUUUGGUUCUAAGGUUUGUUCAGUUGCUUGAAAGAUAUGAUUUGUGAAACAGUAGUUGUUCUUCAUUAAGGUAAAAAGAAUUUAUUAAGCAAAAUUUUUUUUUUUUUUAUUCAGUACUUGUUAGGGUAGCUUCUUACAGUCAAACCUUUUGCGGUCUAAUAAGUCAAAAUCACAAGUCCAGUGAACACCUGAAAAGAAGUCCUAUCCAGUUUGUUUUUUUAAGGGAAUAGACUGGUUUAUUUUCCCAUUUUCAGCUUGGUAUCUAGCUUUGGUCUAUUCCAGUGCUGUUGAUGAUUAUCAGAUAUACCAAAUGAUUUCUACCUGUUCUGCUAUAUUCUCCUUUUUAUUGCUCACGAUUGUGUUUCAUUCCCAUGAUAAGCUGUCCUUUCCGGCCUGUUAAUAGAUUCAUUUUCUUUACUCCUGAGCAGCUGAGUUUCUUGUUUGCUUAUUAUAGCUCGUUGAACAUCGAUUUAGAUUAUUUGCGAAUGCAUAUGAAGAGAGGUUGGUCAUGCACAAACUUAUUCAUUCAGCUUACAAAUUCUCUGUUUCUUGGAAAAGAGUUUAGAUAAUAUGGAUAUUUAUGUUCGCCCAUUCAGGUCUAGCUCUCCUCAAACGUCAUUUUAGUUGUAGCAUCGUAUUUGUAUAUUUGUUCACUCUCUCAACACAUGCUGAAAUAUGAAUUAAGUUUUCAGGCAGCUGAUUAAGCAUUAGCAUCCAUUCCCCCUCAAAAGAUAUGUUUCAGUUAAUCCAGUAACCAAUCUAUAAAAAAAUCUGGACUUAAUUGACAUUUGAUACUUUUUUUGAAAUUUGCAUAGCAAAGUGAUAUAUAAUUACUGAUUCAUUCUUUUUGAUAAAUAAUUUAAUAGUAGUAUUUGCUCUUACACUUGGGCCUUUUGAAAUUCACAGAAGCUGCUAAAAAGAAGAAGAAAAAAAGUAAAAGCAAGUGAGCACUUUCUCUCCUUUCAUUGUCUUUUUUUCUCCUUAUGGAAGGAUUUAGGUUUUCAUUUCUCCUUUUUCAUGUUUUGCAUUUUCAGGAAGAAAAAAGAAAUGCGGGUGCAAACAGAUCCUCCAUCCAUCCCAGUUAUUGAACUCUUCCCUUCUGGGGAAUUUCCAGAGGGUGAAGUUCAACAGUACAAAGACGAGUAUGUACCCAUUACUGUAUGCUUUAUUGUCUUUGAUGACCUAUAUUAAGCAUUAUUGCAAUCAGAACAGAUUGUCUGAAAAAUUCGCAAUGGAAAGGGUCAGGAUAUUUUCUGCAUUUGAUUAUUGGUUGUAUUUAAAAGUUCAUAGUAGUGAGAUGGAGAGCAAAAGGAUUGUCUCUUUUAAUUGAUAAAUGCUUCUGACAGCAUUUAAUUUCCAUACAAGGGAAAGUUCCUGUAAGAGUGAAUGUGCAUGGAUAUACUAAUUCUUUACUACAAAGUUGCUGCAGUGUGCAGAUUGGAAAGCUUUUUAUUAGGAUGUGUUGGCGAAACUAUGUGAGCUAUGAUUGUCUGAGGAGAAAGCUCGAAUAGUAAAUCCACUUUUAGGGCCUGUUUGAUAACUCUACUUAAUGCUGAUAAUUAAUUUAUUCAGAAUUUUUUGAAUUUAGCAUGUUUGAUAAUAGAAAUUCCUUACUACUUAAUGUAUUAAGCACUGCAUAAUUUGUGUACAAAAUUUUAAGUGAAAAAAAUUUUGACUGACUCCUCUGAAUUGACCACACAUACUAUGCCUCUCACGCACAUGACACAAUCUCAUAGUGUUCUUGCACAUAGUGCACGUUUGUUUUCUUUAUGCUGGACAUAUACAAAGACACAGAUGCACGCGCACACACACUCUUACAACAAAUAUACACACUUAAAUACCACUUCUAAAUUAUUUCAUUAUUUUCUCUCUCACACACAUGCGCAUUUUUCUUUUUCUCCAAAUGCACAAAUAUAGGUUUAAAUAAAAAAAAAUAGAAAUACAAUUAUUAGAGAUAUUUUUACUGUAGCACUUUUUGUGAUGUGAUGUAUGUGAGAUAAAAAGGUAAUUGAAAAGGUAAAAAGGUGUAUUGGAAAUUGUAAUGAUGAUGUAAGCAAAAAAAAUUGGGGAAAUAAAGCCCAAUCCAAACAAACCCAUAAUUGUGCGAUAUUUCAAUUGAGUAUCAUAAUCCAGUUAGUUAUCAAACAAAUAUAACUUGAACAAUUCAGCAACUUAAUACAUUCAGCACUUAAUUUUCAGAAUUCAGAUUUCAGACUUUAGAUUUAUCAAACGGACCCUUAAUCCUGAGUUUUAUUAGUCUCUGGGCUUAUCUUUUUGUAAUUUAAAUAAUUUUCUUCAGUGGGGUGCUGGGGGAAGAUGCGUGCUUGCUCGUGGCUGCAAUGUGUUGAUGAGUUACUAUAUUUUCAUUGGCUUAUUCUGCCUGAUGCCCUAAGCAUUUUUCUGCUUGGAAGAUUUUAGCAUCCCAGUGCUCUUUCUAAGAGCAACGAAAAGAAGUGGGAUAUCUUGACACUUAAGAAUUUAUAUGUAUCUGAAAAUUAGGAGAUCUAAGCUUCUUUAAUUAAGCUGAAGUAAUGCUGGAUUAUUUUUCCUUUCAGGGGUACCUUUUUUUAUUUAUUUUUAUUUUUAAAAAGUGGGCAGGGAUAGGUGAAUCUAAUAGGACACUCUUGGGUUUGUAGAUGUUUCUUGGUAUCUUUGCCCUUUUAUUGUGAUGAUUUUUCGCCAGUGUUUUCUUAUUGGACAUCUUACAUGUGUCUUGACUGUAUAUGCCUUCUCCUGGAGAUGCUGUUGAUGCACCUGAGAUAGUGUUUGAUUGUAAAGUUAGUUACGUUUUCCUUAACAUGCGUAAUUCAGGUCGCAGGAGAGUUACAAAAAGUUGCUGCCUUCUUUUUUUUCAGACUGUGCUAUUUUCUCUCACAUAUUUUAUCAUUGGCAAACAUGCAUACAAAAAUUGAUUGCACUUUCUUUUACCUAAUUUAUUGCAUAUAUAAUCUGUUUUCAGUCCAUUCAGGAUCUACAUAUUUGUGUGUACAAUUUGAUUUGGGGAUAGCAUUCGAGCACAGGUAUAUGCUCUUUUAGUCAAAUCAAACCUAAUAAACGCAUCCUGAAUAAGUGCUUUGAUAUAUAAUGAUAAAACUGUUACUUAAGCCUACCAUGGAAGUUCUCUUGCAUCAUUUAAGAAUUCAAUAACAAUCCUCUAGAAUGUUUCAUGUAUCAUUCAAGUGUUAGUAAGAUACCCCACAAAUAAGAAAGUUAAAAAAGUAAUGAACAUGGACCUGAAGAGAUGUCAUCCAAGAAUAGAAUCCAUUCCUGUAAGGAAAUGCACUAAUAACAUAGAAAUGAUAAAGUGUGUAUUUAAUAAAAAAUAGUAACCCUAACAGGGAAAACCAUCAGGCAUCAAAAUCCUGUGUAUAAUUGGUCACUGUAGUAGGUUGGGUAGCUCUGUUUACCACAAUGGAAAGAUAUAUAUUCUGUCUGUAAUCUUCUCCAUACCUUCUGAUGGAUUGAGAAAAUUGAGUAAUAUUCAAAAGAUGUGUUUUAAUAUCAGUCUUGCUUUGAAACCAUGAUAAGAAAGAAUGGAGCGCCAUCUACUCGCCAUAAAUUUGUAAAUUGAAUUGGAUUUUGAUGUAUUUUAACUGUAUAAAUUUGUGGGAAUAUCUUAAAUGAGUACUAUAGAAAGUUCAUCUCUGUUACAUAUCUACAUGUUACAACAUUCGACAUUUUUAAUCUAACAUGUCAGCAUGUCAAACAAUAUUUAGCGUAGCCAACCAAAUUAUGAGAUUGCAUAUGCUUAUGGUUGGUGAUUACCCAAAACCAUCCCUGGCAACUUGAUGGGAUAGGCACUUUUCCAUUUCGAGCUUCCAUUUUAACAUCUCAUACAUUUUUGCCUUCUCUUCUGUCUAGGGAAGUACAUGUUUAUACAUGAGCCUUCCAUGAGGAAUUUAAUGCCAUGGGAUUUGGCAUCUUGUGGACUGGAGGUUUAGAGCAGUGACAGAGCCCACGGCAAUUUGUGGGCCCUAUUAUUGGACCACUAAUUAACCUUCCUUAUAUGAGAGAGAUAUUUCUGCCACUUGUUAUUGUAGUGUGCUUUGUACUUUGUACUAAUCGUUGUGAUGUGGCUAAAGUCAAUUUUUGCAUGUUCCCAAUCCAAUCUAGGGAUUCUUUUUAUUGGACUUGAUAUAUUGGUAACUCUUUUUUCUGUCAAUAAGCAAAGAGGCUGGACAUCUGUUUCAAAGGGGAUGAUGCCAGUAUGUAUAUGAAUAGCUCCAAGAACUUGUUUUCUGUUAUGAAAAUGAUGUAGUCUUUGCUUUCUGUUUUAUGGGUGGGGCUAUUUUCUUUUAAACCUUGUGUUUCUUAGCAUCAAAAGAGGAGGAAUAUCUGUUCUUUUGAUAUGUCUGAAGGAUCAAAAUGAGGAUGGCUAGCUGUUUUUGAAACCCGGUGAAUGAACGAUUUGCAUCUCUUGCAUGAAGUAGUUUUAUUUUUACAAGUGCCGACUGAUUUGGAUCAAAACGCGUGGUUUAUCUGUUACAGUUUAAAGCAUGGUUUUGGAAUAGGUGCAUGAUUGCAAUUAGUUAGCUGGCAUGCAAAUUACAAUUAGACAACACUAGUGCACUUUUAUAUUCUCAAUUAGAGGAAAGUAGCUGUCAUUCGUUUUCAAAUGCACCGGAUCUUAUUCCUUUCUGUCUCGAAUGGUUUAAAUUCAACUGGUUUCAGUAUGCAAUCCCUUUUUCUCUUAUUAUUGGGCUCUUUUUUUUUUUAAUUUAAUAUCAUGGAGAUUUCUUAAAAUAAAUUUCUGUUGUUGAUGAUUCAAUUCAGUAACUUGUGGAGGACAACUUCCGAGGAAAAGAGGGAGUUGGAGCGCCUGGAAAAACCAAUCUACAAUUCCGUUCGCCAGGCAGCAGAAGUUCAUCGUCAGGUAGGUACUAAAACUUUGAUAUUUAUCUGUGUGCUUGGACAUGUCUGUUCGCAUAUGAGAGCAACCUGAAGAAAUGAAUAUUUCCCUAUUUAGUUGCUGAGAAAAAUGGCUGGCUCUUUUCUUCCAUUAUGGCAACCUUGUAACCUUGUUCAGGUUCGGAGAUAUAUCAGGCAGAUUUUGAAGCCUGGAAUGUUAAUGAUUGAUCUGUGUGAGACCUUGGAGAAUACUGUACGUAAAUUGAUAUCAGAGAAUGGUCUCCAAGCUGGCAUUGCAUUUCCCACAGGAUGCUCAUUAAAUUGGUGAGUAUGAAUGUGUUGUUCGUGCAAUAUUAUGUAACUUAAGAAAUUGAAAACACUUUAUAAACAUUCACUAUGUCAGUUUUUUACUGUGUUAAGAAACUGAAAACACUUUAUAAACAUUCACCAUGUCAGUUUUAGUGUGUUUACUUUUACAGCUUCUAGUCAGCUAAUUCAUUUCUUUCUUUCUUUUCUCUUUUUCAAACUGAGUUCUUUUUCCUCUCUGGUUAAGUUCUUUCUGCUUCUAACCUGUUUCUUCUUACAGGGUUGCAGCCCACUGGACCCCAAAUUCUGGAGAUAAAACUGUGCUUCAGUAUGAUGAUGUCAUGAAACUGGAUUUUGGAACUCAUAUUGAUGGUACUAUUUUCAAAUCUUACGUCUGGUGGUCUGUGGGCAUGCUUCGUACUGCCUCAUUGGUUUUACUUGUUUUUGUUUGCUUAGCAUCAUUCCACUGUAGGUGUUUAAUUCUGGCAUGUUUGUACUUGCAGGACAUAUAGUAGACUCUGCAUUUACUGUGGCAUUUAAUCCUAUGUUCGACCCUCUCCUUGAAGCCUCACGUGAAGCCACAAAUACGGGAAUCAAGGUGGGUGUAUUUGUGUUGGAUAACUGGAAUUAAGUUCAUUAAAGUGAAAAUUUGAAACCUGCUGGUUAAUAAGUAAAAUUUAAUGAGAUGUAAACUUGUCGUCCAAGUUAUAUAACAAAUGAUUUUCACAAUGCAUUCUGUUAAAACCAACUCAUAUCUUCACAGUAUUUUAUACUUUGUUUCAUUUUCAGGAAGCUGGAAUUGAUGUCCGCCUUUGUGAUGUUGGUGCUGCAAUCCAAGAGGUCAUGGAAUCAUAUGAGGUUGAAAUUAACGGCAAAGUAUACCAAGGUAAUUGAAACUGAAAUGAAUGUAGCUUUUACUUUACAUCAGUCAGAUGCUUUGAGGUUAGAAUAUUGGCUGAUAAUGUGAAACCUUUUUUUAUUUUUUUGGCAAUACUUUUAGUAAUUGGAGUCCAAUUCUUCUUUAAAUGUUUUACAAUCUUAAUAAUUAUUACACCGAGAACCAUAUGAUUUUACUUGUUGGGAUUGUACUUUUGGUAUAGAAACAUUGCCUAAUAUCUUUCCUUUCACUCUCUAAGUCACCUUUUGAUUGGCUGAACGUUGUUUAAGAUGAGUGCAUUUGUUGUACAAUCAAUGACAAUUGGGAAAACACUCCAAAAUUACAUGCUUCAUUGAACGCAUUGGUAAUAGAAAGGCCUUUUGGUAAAGGAUUUUCAAGAAGGGUAAAUUUUUGGGGGAUGAGAAAAAUUAUUGCAGUAAAUGGCUUUUGAGUACUGAUAGGGGCGGCCAAAUUUUGGCAGAGUCCAAAAAGAAAUCUGGCCAAUAAAACUGGGCUUGAUUUAAUGUUAUUUUAUGGCUUUACAGGCUUAGAUUGAAUAUUAUUGCUUGCACUAUAUUUUGUCUUCUGGUCAUCCUCAGCGUUUAACCUAAACAUGAGGCUAAUAUGUAUUAUCUUGUGUCCUUUCUUGAUUUGAGCAGAUUUCAGGGAUUCCUUUGGUUUAGAGCACUGUAUACAAACAGUGAAAGAUAAUUUUCUUUAUCUCUAUCUCAGGGAAGAUUGCAAAGUUAAAAUUCACGGAAACAUGGAUUUUCAUAACUAGUCAAAAAGCAUUAUGAUUUUUGAGUUUCAAGUCAUGACUGGUUGCUGGAUUCUGUUCUUAAGCUGUACUUUGUGUUGUGCCACAACCACCAUGAAAGAAAAAAAAAAAUUUUGGUUGUUCUUUCAUUUUUGUAUAAGUUUCUGGAUAUAGAAUCAUAACAGGAAAAUGACAGGAAGAAAAAGUCAUGUACUUAUAGUCUGUAGUCAUCUUAUGAUAAAAUUUCAUGUAAUGAAUGAUAUUUAAUGUUUUUGGGUUUGCUCUCUGUCAGUUAAGAGUAUCCGAAAUUUGAAUGGGCACGGUAUUGGAAGUUAUCAAAUCCAUGCUGGAAAAUCUGUUCCAAUUGUGAAAGGAGGAGAACAAACAAAAAUGGAAGAGGGCGAGUUUUAUGCAAUUGAGACCUUUGGAUCAACAGGUGAUGGUUUCUACAUUUUUUGGCUGGGUACCGUGCUUGAUGGAACUUGAAUCUAUAUGCGGAUUCAUUUUCCUGUCAUUUGUUUUGUACAGGAAAGGGGUAUGUCAGAGAAGAUCUAGAGUGCAGCCAUUACAUGAAGAAUUUUGAUGUUGGCCAUAUACCAUUGCGAUUACCGAGAGCAAAACAGCUUCUGGCAACAAUUAAUAAGAACUUCUCUACUUUGGCUUUCUGUAGACGUUAUUUAGAUCGCCUUGGGGAGACAAAAUAUUUGAUGGCACUAAAGAAUCUAUGUGAUUCUGGAAUUGUUCAGGUAUUUCACGUAAUUUAUUGUCAGUGAGGUAUUGAACCUUGAAGAAAUGGUGAUGAAAUUGAGGUUUCAAUUUUGACAUUAAUAGAAGAAAGAUUUUAAGAUGUGGGGGGAGCAUGUGAUUUUGUGGAUGCGAGGCCUUCUGGGGUGUUUAGAUAGCUGCCAUUAUACAUCAUGUCCAAAUGGUGAGAGGAUCUUCCUAUAUCUUGCUAUGUUAAGAUGACUGGAAGAUGCAAAAUAUAAAAAUCUAGAAAGAUCUGAAGAUAUGUGUCGGCCGAAAUGGAAGAAAGCAGAAAUAUUACCUAAUGUCAUAGAAUGGAAUACUGGGAAUUACUUGUGAACUAGCUAAGUUCAUAAUAGGGUAUAGAACUCGGUUUGAUAAAUUUCUCUCUUCUCUUGAUUUUAGAUUCUAGCUAUAUAUAUUAACAGAAGCUUGUUGUAUGCUUUUCAGCCUUGCCCUCCUGUAUGUGACAUCAAAGGCAGCUAUGUAUCUCAGUUUGAACAUACCAUAUUACUCCGUCCUACUUGCAAAGAGGUGGUAUCAAGAGGCAAUGACUAUUAAUGGCCAGGUCUUGGCACGACAAAGUGUGUGGUGAUCUGAGCUUAAUCAUUAAUUAGGGUUUACGUUCUGCCUGCACAAAAAUACCUGCCGGGCGCUGUGCAGAGGCUAGUCCCUAUUUGUUGUAUCUUUAAGUCUCCUUAUUCGACUAACAGCUACAGGCUACCUUUUUCCUUUCUCACUGUUUUGUUUGGAGAAUGGUUCUUGUUAGGAAAACUUGUGUAACUGAUUGAUUAUCUGUUGGUGAGAGACAGAAUGUAAAGCUUAUUAUGAAAGGUGCAUUUUCUUGAGAUAGAACUGGUCUAAAUUUUUGGUUUGAUGGAGUGUGUGUGGUCACUAUUAUUACUAGGUCGUUUGCCACAUGGAGAACAACAUAAGUUGGAAGAAAUCACAUUUGGUGGACUUUAUACACAGACAAAGCACAUUAAGAUAGAUUCUCACUACAUCUGCAGAUUAUAUGUUAAAAGAUGAGCAGCUAGUAGACUCGCUCAAUAAAUGUUUUGGCAGUUCUAGAAUGCAUUUUACUUGUGACUAGCUAGGGUAUUACUAGAAGUAUUGAGGAUUUGAAGUCAAUAGUUA
rnacentral:lncRNA from 1 species